rnacentral:rRNA from 1 species
UGAACGCUGGCGGCGUGCUUAAUACAUGCAAGUCGAACGGAGCCCCAUUUCUUCGGAAGUGGGUGUCUUAGUGGCGAACGGGUGAGUAACGCGUUGGUAACCUGCCCCGAAGUGGGGGAUAACAGUUCGAAAGGACUGCUAAUACCCCAUGUGAUCUUCAAGAUUAGAUACUUGAUGAUAAAAGGAGUAAUCCGCUUUGGGAGGGGCCUGCGUCCCAUCAGCUAGUUGGUAGGGUAAAAGCCUACCAAGGCUAUAACGGGUAGGGGACCUGAGAGGGUGUCCCCCCACACUGGCACUGAAACACGGGCCAGACACCUACGGGUGGCAGCAGUAGGGAAUAUUGGACAAUGGGCGAAAGCCUGAUCCAGCAACGCCGCGUGCGCGAUGACGGCCUUCGGGUUGUAAAGCGCUUUUUGGGGAGAUGAGAAAGGACAGUAUCCCCAGAAUAAGCCUCGGCUAACUAC